AAGUCGUAACAAGGCUUCCGUAGGUGAACCUGCGGAAGGAUCAUUAGUGAAUAACGUGGUUGUCUUCGCUUCGGCAAGGCAUCCGCACCUCACAUCCAUACACUAGCUGACGACUAGAUGUGGUGUACUCGUUGCCCAUCUGCCCUUAUCUAACAAUCAGUAGUAAUAAAAGUAGUUAUAUUAUAAUCUAAUAAAA
rnacentral:misc_RNA from 1 species